UACGUAGGGGGCUAGCGUUGUCCGGAAUCAUUGGGCGUAAAGCGCGCGUAGGCGGCCAGAUAAGUCCGGUGUGAAAGUCACAGGCUCAACCUGUGAAUGCCGCUGGAAACUGUCUGGCUAGAGUCCGGAAGGGGCGAGUGGAAUUCCUGGUGUAGCGGUGAAAUGCGUAGAUAUCAGGAGGAACACCAGCGGCGAAGGCGGCAUCCUGGACUGGUCCUGACACUCAGGAGCGAAAGCGUGGGGAGCGAUCCGG
rnacentral:rRNA from 1 species